AUGGAUCCUAAUCAAUUUAAUUAUCAAUAUUAUGGGUAUAAAUCAUCAUCGCCUAAACCUGCAACACCUUCAAGUUAUGGGUAUAAUUCAUCAUCACCAAUGGAGCGUCCAAUGGGACAACAAGCAGCAAAAAGGAAGAGUAAGACAAAGGAAAAAGCAUCUGAAUCACCUUCUAAUGUUAUGCAAGAUACAUGGAAUAAAAGAGUAGUAACAAUGGAAAGACUAGAUCAAUAUAAGGAGGAAGAGAUAGAUUUUAAGGCAAUGCAAUUACUCAUGAAAGACAAUUCUAUGUUGAAUGAUAGUCAACGUGAUGUUCAUAAAAAAUAUUGUAAUAAGUUGAAAUAA